UAACCAUCGAGAGAAACUGAGGGACUGGCCCUAUGAAGUUUCAGCAACCUGUCAUCAGAUGUGGUGCUAAUUCCAGAUAGAUGGAAG
rnacentral:ncRNA from 27 species